UGCAAAGGCCGAGAGCAAGCCAUGUAUUGAAAGAGUGUACAUUGAAGAUGACUAUCAUCUAAGCAGAACUUAAUGGUGGGUUUGUUUGGUGGACUGUCAUUUCCCAAAGCACAAAUGCGUUCCAUACCAUCGUCCAAUCCCCAAUAAUACUUAUUUAUUUCCUGUAGAAUGUCCUAUGAUUGUAAAGUUGUAUCGUCAAGACAAUCUCCAACAUACCUUAUCUAUGAUAGGGUAUGGUUCAGAUCUAAAGAAAAACAACAAAGAAGCAACGACUGCAGAAGAGUUUAGAUAGUUACAUAACACCUCAGUACCUUACUGGGCAUUCCAGUGUUCCUAUGCAAACACACUACUAAACAAAAUGUCCAGUGAAAGAUGCGAGCCACUUUGCUAAUCACAUAGUCAUUGAAUGGAGUAGCAACCAAUCCUUUUAGUCUGCUAGUAGAUAUGCGUCAACAGUUAUGAUUCUUUUUGUACAUCUCCCCUUGAAGCAUUAGCACAAGAUUGAGAAAUAGAACCAUAUUUUCUCAGCGCUUUGAACCCUGGUUUCAGAAUGAUUAUCAAAAAUACAAAUGUCUGGAGACAACAACAGAAUGAACACAAAACCGUUCAGUAUUAAUGGAGGCUUCUCUACUUAAAUCAGGACAAAUCCAAAUGAAAUAUAUAGAGAUAAUACAAAGACCAAACUCCGCGGCUAUUGUUUCAAUGCACAGUAAGCUGUAUCUUCUAUAAAAUAGUGUCCCGGUACAACUGGUAACGAACGAUUUGGUUCCAAGUACACAAGUAAAGGAAAAGGUAACAUUCUUAUUUUUGAGAUAUUAACAAUAGUUUCUACAAAAGACUUAUAUAUACCUAAGUACAGGAGGUACCUAGUUUCUACAAAAGGCUAGAGGAACUACAUCUUCAAAAAAAAGCUAGAGGAACUAAAGCACAACUAUCCAUUGCUGCAAAGUAGAAAUUAGAGAUAGAAAAAUAUUAUUCUUUGGGUGGAAUAUUAAUCUAAGCAGCAAUAUGCAAAAGUAAAUAAAAAAAUACUGGGAUCAUUUGCAAUAACAAUGUUACUGAUUAGAGAGAUUAAUUAUACUGCAAAUGGAUAACUAAUAUUAAUUAUCGAAAGAAGCAAAUCUUUGAUGCACCGUAUGUAGUCUGCUUUGAAAUCUCAAAAAAGUCUUGUAUUUAGGAAUGGAACGGAGGGAGUAGAUGUUUAGGUAUGAUGUUCAUACAUGGCACUAUAUAUUACAUUGAUGGUAGGUUCAUAUUACAAAAUAAAGGCAUGAGACCAGUUCAUGAUAUAAGUGAAGGUACCUAGGCAGAGAUGUGCCAUAUAAAUAGCUUUGGUCACCCAGCUUAUGGUAACUAAGGAUGUGUUUGGUUCGGGGACGAAGUGUAACGGAAUGUCACAGUUCCAUUUCACUAGAAUGGGUCGGUUCCGUCACUGUGUUUGGUAGUGGCAAUUUGAAGGAAUGGAAUGGUUACAUUUUGAUGUUUAGUUUGAGAGAUGGAAUGGGAUGAGUUUAUUUAUCUCAUCAUGAAUUGGAGUGGAUUCCGGUCAUUAAAAAGGCAGAUAAAUAUUGAAUUGUGCAGCAGUGUGAGCAUCAAGAUUCAAGAACACUCUGUCAAAAACAAAUUGCAGCUAAUCUGAUUGGAUUUCACUCAAACAAAGGCCACCCAAAUACCAAAGUCUGCAUCUGAUCUGUGUGCUACAAGCAAAAAAUGCAGCUUGCUCGUCCAGCCUUGCUCCUCCAGUCCACAAGAUCGAUAGCAGCGACCCAAAUACAAAAUUUCUGGAUCAAUAGCAGCCACCCAAACGCAGCCUUGCUCCUUCAGUUCUUUUUCAAUCAUCUGGCCGACGGGGUGAAUUGCACAUUGCUCUUGCACCGAGGCCGUCCAGCCGCUCAAGCUCGAGCUCGGCAGCCAUGGUUGCGAGCUAGGUUGGCCUUCUAAUCGCACCACGCCACACACACACACAUGCGCCUCCUCACGUACACACAGACGCACCUCACCCCGAACUCCUUCCGCCAGAUCCCUGGUCGAGGGGUAGAUAGGAGGGACAGGAGACGCCGGCGAGGCUGCACUUCCGAUGAGGGGCAGAGGUCAGCGACAUAGCGGGUGUGAUGCAGGCUGCGUCUUCGAUGAGCCAGACCUCGGCCGCGCAUCCGCCGCGACCGCGCACAAGAGGACGCCGUCGAUGAUGGGGUGCAGUGGAGGAAGGGAAGGUGCUCCGGCCGACGGCCGCCGCCAUGGCCAUCGAGGGAGAGAGGGCAGAGGUCGUGGGUGGCUGGGCCGCGGGCCGCGAGGUGGGUGAGAGAUGAGGACAAGAGACGCGAGCGAGGCGUUCCGCGUGGUCCGAC
rnacentral:rRNA from 1 species